rnacentral:lncRNA from 1 species
AAACUAUCUAAGUGACAACACCUAUAUUAUAUAAAAGUAAUAUUAUUACCUCUCCGCGACACCCAUGCCCAAGUUUAAUGAGUGGAGUACACUCCACUCGCCCUCUUGUAUUGCCACGUGUCUAAUUAAUUUUCCUAUUUUAUUAAAAACUUAAACCGACCCUAUUACUCUUUUAACCCAUCUAAUCCGACCCGACCCGACCCAACUCUCAUAUUUUACCCUGACUCUAUUAAAA